GACGAACGCUGGCGGCGUGCUUAACACAUGCAAGUCGAACGAAGAGCGAUGGAAGCUUGCUUCUAUCAAUCUUAGUGGCGAACGGGUGAGUAACGCGUAAUCAACCUUCCCUUCAGAGGGGGACAACAGUUGGAAACGACUGCUAAUACCGCAUACGAUCUAAUCUCGGCAUCGAGGAUAGAUGAAAGGUGGCCUCUACAUGUAAGCUAUCACUGGAGGCGGGUAUUGCGUCUGAUUAGCUAGUGGGCGGGGUAACGGCCGACCAAGGCGAUGAUCAGUAGGCGGUCUGAGAGGAUGAACGGCCACAUUGGGAGUGAGACACGGCCCAGACUCCCACGGGAGGCAGCAGUGGGGAAGCUUCCGCAAUGGACGAAAGUCUGACUGAGCAACGCCGCGUGAGUGAGGAAGGCCUUCGGGUUGUAAAGCUCUGUUAAUCGGGACGAAAGGCCUUCUUGCGAAUAGUGAGAAGGAUUGACGGUACCGGAAUAGAAAGCCACGGCUAACUACGUG
rnacentral:rRNA from 1 species